rnacentral:lncRNA from 1 species
UGGGGUGGAGGUGGUUUGGUUGGAGGUGGUCUGGGGUGGGAUGGUCUGAGGUUGGAGGUGGUCUGGUGUUGGAGAUGGUAUGGGGUGGGGUGGUCUCGGGUGGAGGUGGUUUGGGGUGGAGUGGUCUGGGGUGGGAUGGGCUGGGGUGGAGGUGGUUUGGUUGGAGGUGGUCUGGUGUUGGAGAUGGUAUGGACGACAGUGGGCGAAGUUCCGAGAAGCCCCUUCCCUGAGGCUCCCACUCCUGUGGGAAGAUGGAAGUGGCCCGGGCCGGUGGGGGAGCCCGGCGGGAUGCCAGGGCUGCCCGAGUUCCAAACACACCAGGACGGAGCCUGUUUGAGCCUGGAGCCCUCUGCAUUGCUCUGCUGCAGGCUAUAAAGCAAAAUGCAAAACGCAACGUGCAUCCCGUCCAGUUCACGUAUUUCUACCAUGUUUGGGUGUUUUUAAGGGUCCCGCUUCAUUUUUAUCCUAAAGCCAGUGGCAGCCACUCAAUCUUUGGAGACUGGGGCUGUCGCCUGCAUCCGCGGUUGGAGUUUGCCAGACACCUGGCGCCUUGGGCCACCUCUGGGCUCCAGAACCUGCAACCCUGGGCACACGGCUCUCCCGCCGUCUUGCCACAGUGCCCCCUGGCGGCCCUGCUGAGUCAAGCCGGCUUCCUGUCUUCCCAGACUGGGCUCUUCCCUGAAACCCGGGAGGGAAAGGUGAGACUUUCAGCCCCUCUGCCCAGAGCUGCUCAGGAUGGCUUGGAGCCCUGCACGUAUUUGGCAAAUAUUUACUGUGUGUGCACUAUGUGCCUGGCACUGUCAUUGAACCAGAGGGUAGAACAAUGACCAAAACCAGGUACACCUGUUCUCAGGGCUCCAACCUUCUGGGGAGGGAUGGACACAGCAAAGGGGUGUCUGUGAGGUGACACAGUGAAGGGGCGUCUGUGAGGUGACACGUCGAAGGAACGCAAGCAAGGAGACGGAAAGAGGGAGCUGCUAGUUUACACGGGCGCUGGCGAACAUAAACGUUUGUGUUUAAGUACAAAGAAAAUGGUUGCAGCUGUGCAGGCCUCGGGGGUUCACAC